GAUGAACGCUAGCGGCAGGCUUAACACAUGCAAGUCGAGGGGCAGCGAGAGAGUAGCAAUACUUUUGUCGGCGACCGGCGGACGGGUGCGUAACGCGUAUGCAACCUACCUUAUACAGGGGGGAUAACCUUUCGAAAGGGAGACUAAUACCGCAUAACAUUACUUUGAGGCAUCUUGAGGUAAUUAAAUCUUCGGAGGUAUAAGAUGGGCAUGCGUAGCAUUAGCUAGAUGGUGCGGUAACGGCGUACCAUGGCGACGAUGCUUAGGGGUUCUGAGAGGAAGGUCCCCCACACUGGUACUGAGAUACGGACCAGACUCCUACGGGAGGCAGCAGUGAGGAAUAUUGGUCAAUGGUCGGAAGACUGAACCAGCCAUGCCGCGUGCAGGAGAAUGUCUUAUGGAUUGUAAACUGCUUUUGUAUGGGGCUAAUAAUAACUUUGCGAAGUUAGAUGCAGGUACCAUACGAAUAAGGAUCGGCU
rnacentral:rRNA from 1 species